rnacentral:rRNA from 1 species
AACGAACGCUGGCGGCAGCCUUAACACAUGCAAGUCGAACGCCCCGCAAGGGGAGUGGCAGACGGGUGAGUAACGCGUGGGAAUCUACCCAGAUCUUCGGAACAACUGAGGGAAACUUCAGCUAAUACCGGAUACGCCCUACGGGGGAAAGAUUUAUCGGUUCUGGAUGAGCCCGCGUUGGAUUAGCUAGUUGGUGAGGUAACGGCUCACCAAGGCGACGAUCCAUAGCUGGUCUGAGAGGAUGAUCAGCCACACUGGGACUGAGACACGGCCCAGACUCCUACGGGGGGCAGCAGGGGGAAAUAUUGGACAAUGGGCGAAAGCCUGAUCCAGCCAUGCCGCGUGAGGGAUGAAGGCCUUAGGGUUGUAAAGCUCUUUCAGUAGGGAAGAUAAUGACGGUACCUACAGAAGAAGCCCCGGCUAACUUCGUGCCAGCAGCCGCCGUAACAC